rnacentral:ncRNA from 1 species
GUGAAAUCGAGGAUCAGGAAGAGUAAUUUGUUGAACGCUUCAAGCGAGGUAACAUAGAGUGGAAGGUUACUAAGUAGAAACGAAUGAAACGCACCUGUGAGAGUCCAUUGGAAAGAUAGUAUAAUGGAACGUCACCUGCGUUAAAGGCAAGAGUGGUUAGAAAAUUUUCUAACAACGAGAGUGGUACCGCGUAUAUAUACGUCUCUGGA